GACCCCAGGGUCUGGUGGAUGGUACUAUUUCUUUUUGAACGUUAACAAAGAUGUACAGAGAGGAAAGAACUUGGAAGAGUACGAAGAUUAGAUUUAUAUUGAACAUUUAAUAACUGUCAACAUUAUAUGAAUAUAUGAAGCCCU